rnacentral:lncRNA from 1 species
GAACCACUCAGUUGUUCCAUGACCAGUUCUAACUGUUGCUUCCUGUCCCACAUAUAGGUUUCUCAGGAGACAGAUAAGGUGGUCAGGCACUCUCAUUUCUUUAAGAAGUUGCCAUAGUUUGUUGUGGUCCACACAGUCAAAGACUUUUGUGCACUCAGUGAAGCAGAAGUAGAUGUUUUUCUGGAACUCUCUGGCUUUCUCCAUAAUCCAGCGCAAGUUAGCAAUUUGGUCUCGAGUUCCUCUGCCCCUUCGAAAUCCAGCUUGUACUUCUGGGAGUUCUCGGUCCACAUACUGCUGAUGCCUACCUAGUAGGCUUUUGAGCAUAACCUUGCUAGCGUGUGAAAUGAGUGCAAUUGUACGGUAGUUGGAGCAUUCUUUGGCACUGCCUUUCUUCGGUAUUGGGAUGUAGACUGAUCUUUUCCAGUCCUCUGGCCACUGCUGAGUUUUUCAAACUUGCUGGCAUAUUGAAUGUAGCAUCUUAACAGUGUCAGUUAAGUGUUUUAUAAAGAUCUAACAGUGAGUCAUUUUGCAUAACUGUUAUUUCAUCUAAUACUUAAAUACAGGUCGUUCUGCUUUGCACUUUUCUUUUCACUAUUACGUUGCACUGUGUUGGAAAUGCAUUGAUUUUCUUUCGAUUUCUUUUAUAUUGUGUCUUCAUUUUAUGAAUCAUAUUCCCUGUUUGUCAGCUGUGACUUAAAUAAAUCUUCAUAUCAAUUGCACCAUUAAUUCCUCAGUUCAUCUCUGGUUACACCUUUUGCCCACUGGGGCAAACAAAGGAGACCUCAUUUUCAAACAAGGACCUCCAUCCCCAUCCUUGAAGGCGAGCCACCUUUACCUAGCACAGGGAUAAAGGAAAGAAGGCUACCUAACCCCUUGGGACUGCAUUUCCCAUCACCCGACACCAAGGACGUCGCUACUUGCGGGCUUCUGGGAGUUGCAGUUCUGCUGUCUAACCUACUGCCUGCUCGACAGCCUUCUGCAGACUGACCGGCCAUCUUGUCCGCUUAUUUUAUUAUUAUUAUUUCCGCUUGUUUCUAAGAUUCAGCCUCUUCUACACGGAGGCCUGGAGGAGUCUUUUAUUUCUGUUCCCGAUAUUUUUGAAAAACAGGCUCCUUCUCGGACACCUCAAUGGCGUUCAGGCCCCCACAAACCAACAUGGCGGCUGGCACCAUUAGGCGCGACGGCCGGCGCCGAAGGCCCCCUGCCAAGAUGGCGAUGCUGGCGGAGCCACGUCGCAAGCAGAAGUGGUCUGUGGACCCCCGAAACACUACGUGGAGCAAAGAUGAUUCAAAAUUUGGCCAGAAGAUGUUGGAAAAAAUGGGAUGGUCCAAAGGCAAGGUAACGCAACAUGGCAGGUAGUUAGAGGUGGGAAGUGAGACAAGGAAUAUAUACAGUGGUACAUCGACUUACGAACUUAAUCCGUAUUGGAACGACGUUCGUAAGUCAAAACGUUAUUAAGUCGAAGCACC